rnacentral:lncRNA from 1 species
GAUGGCCCAGUCAUAAGACUUCUAACAUUUAUCCCAUUAGUUUGGCACAUCAUCUUCAGGUAAUAUUUCAGCAAUUUUGUAACAUUAUGGAUAGAGAUCUAAGUCUCAUUCAUCUUUGUUGAAGUCGCUCUGUAGCAGACACGGAUUGCAUUGAAUGACUCUGUGUAUAAUAAACGCUUGUUUGACGCUACCUAAAAUAAAGUUGACGUUCUGUACAAAUAUACUUAACUUUAAUUUUUUUCAACAGAUAACCUUCAACUUAAAUGAUGUCCCGGUUACUGUGCAGGAAAAGUCCUGCGGGGAAGGCCCUCAGUACUUUACCAAACAGCACACUACAGGACCAUGGGCUUUAAAAGUGUGCCUGUUGCUUUAUCCUGUACCAGUACACGGCCAAGCACGCAGGAGUGUAGACGGGUGUGCUGGGGUCCUCCUCAGCUGA